rnacentral:rRNA from 1 species
AGAGUUUGUAUCCUCGGCUCAGGAUGAACGCUGGCGGCGUGCUAACACAUGCAGUCGAGCGAAGUCACUUUUUAGUAAUCUUCGGAGGGAAGGAGAGGGUGACUUAGCGGCGGACGGGUGAGUAACGCGUGGGCAACCUGCCUUACACAGGGGAUAACAAUUAGAAAUGAUUGCUAAUACCGCAUAAGACCACGGUACUGCAUGGUACAGUGGUAAAAACUGAGGUGGUGUAAGAUGGGCCCGCGUCUGAUUAGGUAGUUGGUGGGGUAGAAGCCUACCAAGCCGACGAUCAGUAGCCGACCUGAGAGGGCGACCGGCCACAUUGGGACUGAGACACGGCCCAAACUCCUACGGGAGGCAGCAGUGGGGAAUAUUGCACAAUGGGGGAAACCCUGAUGCAGCGACGCCGCGUGAGUGAGGAAGUAUUUCGGUAUGUAAAGCCCUAUCAGCAGGGAAGAAAAUGACGGUACCUGACUAAGAAGCCCCGGCUAACUACGUG